rfam:Microbulbifer donghaiensis strain CGMCC 1.7063 genome assembly, contig: Ga0070181_101
GGGGAUGACUUGGAUUCGACGCCGGUAACGAAACCAUGGGUGCAUGCCGUGAUGGCAGCCAAUCACGUAAAUCCAAAGCUGCAAUUUAUUAGUUGCCAACGACGACAACUACGGUGCCCAACUCGCUGCGUAAGCAGCCCGUGAAGCACUAACUAAGGGUUCGCCCUUAGCGGCCUACAGUAAGGUUCCAGUACCGCGCUGCAGGCUGUCAUACAGAACUGGAUCGUCCUGAAGCGUGCCUGACGCGGAUGGCCUAAAACUUAUUCAGGCUCGCUCUUCACGUCUUGCCCGCUGGGCUGUAAAGAGCUAAAUCAAUAGGCGGAACUAAGCAUGUAGAGCCUCUGGCAGAGUGCUGACGGACGCGGGUUCGACUCCCGCCAUCUCCACCA